UGAGGAAUAUUGGUCAAUGGGCGAGAGCCUGAACCAGCCAAGUAGCGUGCAGGAUGACGGCCCUAUGGGUUGUAAACUGCUUUUAUGCGGGGAUAAAGUGGGGGAUGUAUCCCUUUUUGCAGGUACCGCAUGAAUAAGGACCGGCUAAUUCCGUGCCAGCAGCCGCGGUAAUACGGAAGGUCCGGGCGUUAUCCGGAUUUAUUGGGUUUAAAGGGAGCGUAGGCUGGAGAUUAAGCGUGUUGUGAAAUGCCGCGGCUCAACCGUGGCACUGCAGCGCGAACUGGUUUCCUUGAGUGCGCUGAAAGU
rnacentral:rRNA from 1 species